rnacentral:tRNA from 1 species
GCAGUCGUGGCCGAGUGGUUAAGGCGAUGGACUCGAAAUCCAUUGGGGUUUCCCCGCACAGGUUCUAAUCCUGCCGGCUGCG